rnacentral:rRNA from 1 species
AGCUGGUUCCCUCCGAAAUUUCCCUCAGGAUAGCUGCAAUCAUCUCAAUUUUAUCAGGUAAAGAUAAUGACUAGAGGCUAAGGGAGCGUAAUGCUCUCUUCCUAUUCUCAAACUUUAAAUGGGUAAGAACAUACAGCUACUUUAGUGAGCUGUUUUGUUGAAUGGAAGGUUGUUAGUGGGCCAUACCGGGUAAGCUGGUCUGGCGAUGCGGGAUGAUCCGAACGUUAUGUUAAAGCGCCAAAUUCUUCUCUCACCUAGAACCCACAAAAGGUGUUGGUCCAUAAGGACAGCAGGACGGUGGCCAUGGAAGUCGGAAUCCGCUAAGGAUCGUGUAACAACCCACCUGCCGAAUGGACUAGCCCUGAAAAUGGAUGGCGCUAAAGAGAAGAGCUUAUACAUAACCAGCUCAACAAGUUCUGUGUUGGGCUGAGUAGGAGGGCGUGUAGAUUGUUGUGCAGCUCGUGGCGUGAGCCAGAGUGAAACGUUCUAUACUGCAGAUCUUGGUGGUAGUAGUAAAUAUUCACGUGAGAACCGUGAAGACUGUUGUGAAAAAAGGUUCCGCGAGAACAGCAUUUGUUCGCGGGUAAGUCGGUCCUAAGGAAUAAGAGAAAUCUGUUUCAAAGUUGGCGUUUCGCCACACUUACCGAAAGGGAAGGAG